AGAGUUUGAUUCUGGCUCAGAACGAACGCUGGCGGCGUGGAUAAGACAUGCAAGUCGAACGAGAGAAUUGCUAGCUUGCUAAUAAUUCUCUAGUGGCGCACGGGUGAGUAACACGUGAGUAACCUGCCCCCGAGAGCGGGAUAGCCCUGGGAAACUGGGAUUAAUACCGCAUAGUAUCGAAAGAUUAAAGCAGCAAUGCGCUUGGGGAUGGGCUCGCGGCCUAUUAGUUAGUUGGUGAGGUAACGGCUCACCAAGGCGAUGACGGGUAGCCGGUCUGAGAGGAUGUCCGGCCACACUGGAACUGAGACACGGUCCAGACACCUACGGGUGGCAGCAGUCGAGAAUCAUUCACAAUGGGGGAAACCCUGAUGGUGCGACGCCGCGUGGGGGAAUGAAGGUCUUCGGAUUGUAAACCCCUGUCAUGUGGGAGCAAAUUAAAAAGAUAGUACCACAAGAGGAAGAGACGGCUAACUCUGUGCCAGCAGCCGCGGUAAUACAGAGGUCUCAAGCGUUGUUCGGAAUCACUGGGCGUAAAGCGUGCGUAGGCUGUUUCGUAAGUCGUGUGUGAAAGGCGCGGGCUCAACCCGCGGACGGCACAUGAUACUGCGAGACUAGAGUAAUGGAGGGGGAACCGGAAUUCUCGGUGUAGCAGUGAAAUGCGUAGAUAUCGAGAGGAACACUCGUGGCGAAGGCGGGUUCCUGGACAUUAACUGACGCUGAGGCACGAAGGCCAGGGGAGCGAAAGGGAUUAGAUACCCCUGUAGUCCUGGCAGUAAACGGUGCACGCUUGGUGUGCGGGGAAUCGACCCCCUGCGUGCCGGAGCUAACGCGUUAAGCGUGCCGCCUGGGGAGUACGGUCGCAAGAUUAAAACUCAAAGAAAUUGACGGGGACCCGCACAAGCGGUGGAGUAUGUGGCUUAAUUCGAUGCAACGCGAAGAACCUUACCUGGGCUUGACAUGUAAUGAACAACAUGUGAAAGCAUGCGACUCUUCGGAGGCGUUACACAGGUGCUGCAUGGCCGUCGUCAGCUCGUGUCGUGAGAUGUUUGGUUAAGUCCCGCAACGAGCGCAACCCCUGUUGCCAGUUACCAGCACGUGAAGGUGGGGACUCUGGCGAGACUGCCCAGAUCAACUGGGAGGAAGGUGGGGACGACGUCAGGUCAGUAUGGCCCUUAUGCCCAGGGCUGCACACGUACUACAAUGCCCAGUACAGAGGGGGCCGAAGCCGCGAGGCGGAGGAAAUCCUGAAAACUGGGCCCAGUUCGGACUGUAGGCUGCAACCCGCCUACACGAAGCCGGAAUCGCUAGUAAUGGCGCAUCAGCUACGGCGCCGUGAAUACGUUCCCGGGUCUUGUACACACCGCCCGUCACAUCAUGGAAGCCGGUCGCACCCGAAGUAUCUGAAGCCAACCGCAAGGAGGCAGGGUCCUAAGGUGAGACUGGUAACUGGGAUGAAGUCGUAACAAGGUAGCCGUAGGGGAACCUGCGGC
rnacentral:rRNA from 1 species